rnacentral:rRNA from 1 species
CCUUCCGUAGGUGAACCUGCGGAAGGAUCAUUACCGAGUGAGGGCCCUCUGGGUCCAACCUCCCACCCGUGUCUAUCGUACCUUGUUGCUUCGGCGGGCCCGCCGUUUCGACGGCCGCCGGGGAGGCCUUGCGCCCCCGGGCCCGCGCCCGCCGAAGACCCCAACAUGAACGCUGUUCUGAAAGUAUGCAGUCUGAGUUGAUUAUCGUAAUCAGUUAAAACUUUCAACAACGGAUCUCUUGGUUCCGGCAUCGAUGAAGAACGCAGCGAAAUGCGAUAAGUAGUGUGAAUUGCAGAAUUCAGUGAAUCAUCGAGUCUUUGAACGCACAUUGCGCCCCCUGGUAUUCCGGGGGGCAUGCCUGUCCGAGCGUCAUUGCUGCCCUCAAGCACGGCUUGUGUGUUGGGCCCCCGUCCCCCUCUCCCGGGGGACGGGCCCGAAAGGCAGCGGCGGCACCGCGUCCGGUCCUCGAGCGUAUGGGGCUUUGUCACCUGCUCUGUAGGCCCGGCCGGCGGCAGCCGACACCCAACUUUAUUUUUCUAUGGUUGACCUCGGAUCAGGUAGGGAUACCCGCUGAACUUAAGCAUAUCAAUAGCGGAGGAA